rnacentral:lncRNA from 10 species
CAGACGUGCCACCUUAAGAGCUGUAACACUCACUGCGAGGGUCCGCAGCUUCAUUCUUGAAGUCAGUGAGACCAAGUUCCGGACACAUUCUCAGGGCCAAAAUGGCUGACUAGAAGCAGCUACAGUGUGUAGCUCUCAGGGAGAGGAAGGAAAGGGAAGAGUAAAUACAGCACCUUCAACUGAAAUAUCCAGGUAUUCACAUUGGGACUGACCAGGGAAACAGCUGGACCCACAGAGAACGAAGAAAAGCAGGGCAGGGUGAUGGCCUGCACGAGAGUGACACGGAGCCAAGGGAACCUCCCCCUCCCAGGGAAGUGGGCAUGAAAGGUUCAAAUAGAAAAGCAGCAUGGUGAUGGGGCUGACUGUUCCAGAAUUGAUGUGCCCGUGCUCCGUGAGGAACGCAGCUCAUCUGUACCAGCAAAUGUGUUGGCUCCUGCCUGCAAUUGUAUCAUUCAGGUGUGCAUUGUAAAAACAAUUCACGGAUAAGCACAGUUGCUCUGGCAAGAACUUCCAGUACAGCGUUGAUGAGCAGUGGUAAAAGAUGGAGAGGUUGAUUGACCCUCUUUCAGCCUUAAUCUCUGCCAACUUCGGCUUCAAAGGCUACAGAGGCAGGGGAAAAGAAAACUAGAAAAUUUUGAGAGAUGUUUUUACAGGUUAUGACUGGAUGAUGUUGCAUCAGUUUCAUCCACAGAACUGUCACAUAGCCUCAAUCCACCUGGAAGAGAGGCUGAAAAAUGUAACUGCACUAUGGAUAAUAAUCACGGUAUUGUAAACAUGUAACAUUUUUUCCUGCCACAAUACAUAUUAAUACUAUUCAGGUCCACACAAUCACACAGAUGUAUUUUGCUGGCAUACAUACUGUUUAUACUCUGCAUGUUUUUUUUCUGCAUUAAUCUCUGGAAGGCAGCUUCUUUUCCUGUUAACCCUUCCCCAGUGAAUAUAUUCUCACUCUAACCACAACAGACUACUCAUUUUUCUCAACAUGAAGUUCUGUCACACAUUUUACAUAAUCGUUUUUGCCAUAAAAAUUCCCUUUUUAAACUAUUAGGUUCAGAUGUACAUGUGCAGGUUUGUUAUAGGGGUAGACUCAUGGGGGGUGGUUAUAUAGGUAAACUCGUGUCAUAGGGGUUUGUUGUACAGAUUAUUUCAUCACCCAGGUAUUAAGCCUGGUACCCAGUAGUUAUUUUCCUGAUCUUCUCCCUCUUCCCAUCCUCCACCCUCCAGUAGGUCCCAGGGUCUGUUGUUUCUUUGUGCCCAUGUGUUCUCAUCAAAAAUGCCCUUUCUGGCCGGGCGCGGUGGUUCACGCCUGUAAUCCCAGCACUUUGGGAGGCCGAGGUGGGCAGAUCACGAGGUCAGGAGAUGGAGACCAUCUUGGCUAACACAGUGAAACCCCAUCUCUACUAAAAAAAUACAAAAAAUUA